UACGAAGGGGGCUAGCGUUGCUCGGAAUCACUGGGCGUAAAGGGCGCGUAGGCGGCCAUUUAAGUCGGGGGUGAAAGCCUGUGGCUCAACCACAGAAUUGCCUUCGAUACUGGAUGGCUUGAGUUCGGUAGAGGUUGGUGGAACUGCGAGUGUAGAGGUGAAAUUCGUAGAUAUUCGCAAGAACACCGGUGGCGAAGGCGGCCAACUGGACCGACACUGACGCUGAGGCGCGAAAGCGUGGGGAUCCAACAGG
rnacentral:rRNA from 1 species